CUUAAAAUUCAUAAGAAUUCAUUGAUUUCAUACAUCUAUAAACAAUGAUAUGCAGGCCAAAGGAUUUAAGCAACCAUUUAUUAAUCCAUAAUAAUAACAUAUGUAUCAUUCAGAGUCCAGUGAGGAAACAGAAGCUACAACAGUUGGUUUUUAUUGUCAUUGUUGUUUGUUUUUAACCAAAAGCACUUAAUAUAAAGAUUUGAUACCAGUUUUUGGAGUUCUGCAGAGGGAGAAAGUUUCCACUAAAGUAUUGGGGAUAGUAACUACUGAAGGUAGUUUCCAUCUAAGGCUGGGGCAAUUAAAUUUUGGGGUUACUAAAACUUUGGAGAUGGAGUAGGGAUUUUGCAAAGCAGAAACUCAGGUGUUGGAAACUUAGGUGUCUGAGGAGUUACUGCUCCCUGCAUUGAAGUUGAUGUCUCUGGGGCUGGGGGAGGGAGCGGCGGGGGGGUGGUGUGUGAUGAAGUUGUUUCUGAAAGUGUUGGGAAACAUGCAAACUGAAAUCAACUGCUGUUAUUGAAAUGAAAUGUCACUGUCAAGGUGAAAAAGUAUUGCCACGGUGAUGCUGAGAGCAGCAGGAAGCAAAAUCAAGGAAGACAAAAUAAACAGGAAGGAGUGUAUUUCUUAUUUUUCCUCAAUUCAUAAAGUGCUUUUCUAGUACCUUCUACUGGCUUACAGGAGAGACUUACAGAAGCCAAGAGAACACAGCAGAAAUAUGAUUGGAAGGUGUCAGCCCCACAUCACGAAGGGAUCAUGGAUUUCUUGGAACUAAUCCGUAAGAAUCGCUAGAACCCGGGAGGCAGAGGUUGCAGCGAGCCAAGAUCGUGCCACUGCACUCCAACCUGAGCUACGGAGAAAAACUGUGCCAAAAAAAAAACACAAACAAAAAACCAAACGACAACCAAAAAAACAAACAAACUGCUAUUCUAGAUACUUAAGAAUUAAAUGGUAAAAAGGAAAUAGGUAAGACUAAUACAGGAAGUUCAAGUCUAUUUAAUCAUGGAGGUAAUGAGUAGAACAAACCCAUGGAUUCUGAUCUCUUUCUAUGUAGUAUGAUUUUUAUACAGGAGUUCAACACAGAAAAGAUGAGAUCAUUCUGCCUUUUAGACAUUGGUUUAUUUUAUAAAGAUUUUUUUUGUGCCGAAGGGAUUAAGAAACACAUCUACAGAGGCAUCUAUCUCAGGUCUUUAAUCAUUAUGGGUUUACAUUUGUUUCUUACAAUUUAGAAUCCUGCCAGGAUAGGGUAGAUGACUUUAGUAUUUAUUUUUAAUCCACAAUAAUGACUAUGAUGUCAAUAAAAACAAAAUAAUAGCAGUACUUAGCUUGUACAUACAAUAAAAUGAACACUUUUCUAAGAAGAAGUAUCUCAAAAAUAAAACUCCAAGGUAGAACUUUUUAUUAUUAUUACCCUAAUUUCAAAUAUGAGAAAAGUGAAGCUUGGAAAAGUAACACAUAUAAAAUUAUAUGGCUAAUAAUAAGAAGAAAUUGAAUUCAAGCCAGUGUCUGUUUGACUCCAGAACUCAUAUUCCAACUUAUUUCUUCAUACUUUCCCUCAUUAGGAAGCAGGUGGGGGGUUGCUGUAAAUAGUGAGUAAAAUUGUUCUUUAUAUUGCUUCUUUUAAGCCGACUACUUUAUAGAGGUGUUAAGUACAACAGACAAGGGUGAUUUGAGGCAGAGAAUAAAAUAAGUAAAAUAUGAUUUUCAUGAGUACUGGUAGAAUCAUAAGAAAAUAAAUAUUCUGGAUCAACACAAAAGAAUGAUGUUUUCAACUUCUUGUUUCAAACUGCCAGAAAAUGUUUAAAACAAUGAAAGCAAUAUUGUGAAAAUAUUUCUCCCCUUUUCUCAUAAGAGAUAGCAAUGUAAUAUCUUUAUUAAAUCUUUGCCCAUUCAUUCACCAACUUAAAACUUUCCACAGAAUAUUUUAUUUCUCUGUAAAUAAGGGAAAAAAUUUCACCAUCGUUUAAUUGUGCUUUUGUUUAGGCUUUCUGGCAUAUUGAAAUAAGUAAUAAAAAUAGAAUUAAGUUUGUUCAGAUAAUACAGUAAUGAUAGUGGAAUACUUUUAUCUCUCUAGAGAUGAAAAGCACCACCAUUGUUUCUUGUUAUAGUCAGAGCUGUAAGGAGCUUAUAUGGUAGAUAGAAGUUGAAUACAUUGUGUGGGUUUAUAAAAUAUGAGCAGAACAUGACAUGCUUGGUUAUGAAUAUUAUUGGCUGAUUCUGCAUUCAAUGAUUUAAGAUAUUUUUAAAAAUUUAUUUGAUGUUGUCUUAUCUGAGCAAGAUUUAAACAUUUUUUCUUUUCCCUUUAAUGCUGCCCUCUAUAUAUGGGUGGUCUUAUAAGUUAGAUUUUACAGAAAGAGUUAAAAAUAAUCUGAG
rnacentral:lncRNA from 1 species